CAAAUAACAACUAAGCUGUAAAAAGUAAUAGUUACAAACAAAAAUAAACAACGAAAGUGAUUUUAUAACCUUCGAACUCACGAUAGCUAAGACCCAAACUGGGAUUAGAUACCCCACUAUGCUUAGCCCUAAACUUAAAUAAUUCCAUAACAAAAUUACUCGCCAGAGAACUACAAGCCAGAGCUUAAAACUCAAAGGACUUGGCGGUGCUUUAUACCCACCUAGAGGAGCCUGUUCUAUAAUCGAUAAACCCCGAUAAACCUUACCACUCUUUGCCAACUCAGCCUAUAUACCGCCAUCUUCAGCGAACCCUAAAAAGGAACAAAAGUAAGCUCAAUUAUCCCCAUAAAAACGUUAGGUCAAGGUGUAGCCUAUAGAGUGGAAAGUAAUGGGCUACAUUUUCUACUUCAGAACAUACGAAAGCCCUUAUGAAACUCUGAGAGCCAAAGGAGGAUUUAGUAGUAAAUUAAG
rnacentral:rRNA from 1 species